UUGAACGGUCAUCCAACUUGUAAUUCCAAGUCAGGCACUCUGGCCUCUUUCUAGAGCUCCGACCUGAAGAUCACUGACGUCAUGAUUCAACCUUGUUUUUUCUCAGAGUUCCUAGCUGUCUUGAAAGCAUCAUAAAUCCAGAGAAUGACAGACUUUGAUGACAAAGUUUGAUGCCAAAAUUUGCCCCACGAAGGACCGCCGCACCACUUUUGUUCAUGUGAGCAAAGCACAACAAGUUCUGACUUGGUGUACAAGGAGAAUACUAUAAGAACAGCCCAUGUUCUGAAUUCUGUCGCUGUACAUUUCAAAAGUGCUGAACAAAUAAUUAUAUUGACUACGUCCGUCCUAGUUCGCUCAUUAUUGUCUUAAUCGAAAUUACGAAUUGCCUCUUAUUUGUUCGUUGUCCCUUUAUGCCAUAGUUUGUACAUCUCAAUUGUCAGUAGAAACCACAUUUGUUUUAAUUAAGCAAGUAAGCAUUACAGGUAUGUUUUUUAAAGGCAGUAAAUGAGGCUGAAUGAA